rnacentral:rRNA from 1 species
CCUACGGGAGGCAGCAGUGGGGAAUAUUGGACAAUGGGCGAAAGCCUGAUCCAGCCAUGCCGCGUGUGUGAAGAAGGCCUUCGGGUUGUAAAGCACUUUCAGUGGGGAAGAAAGCCUUGGGGCUAAUACCCUCGAGGAAGGACAUCACCCACAGAAGAAGCACCGGCUAACUCCGUGCCAGCAGCCGCGGUAAUACGGAGGGUGCGAGCGUUAAUCGGAAUUACUGGGCGUAAAGCGCGCGUAGGCGGUCUGAUAAGCCGGUUGUGAAAGCCCCGGGCUCAACCUGGGAACGGCAUCCGGAACUGUCAGGCUAGAGUGCAGGAGAGGAAGGUAGAAUUCCCGGUGUAGCGGUGAAAUGCGGAGAGAUCGGGAGGAAUACCAGUGGCGAAGGCGGCCUUCUGGACUGACACUGACGCUGAGGUGCGAAAGCGUGGGUAGCAAACAGGAUUAGAUACCCCUGUAGUC